UACGUAGGGGGCUAGCGUUGUCCGGAAUCAUUGGGCGUAAAGCGCGUGUAGGCGGUCCGGUAAGUCCACUGUGAAAGUCGGGGGCUCAACCCUCGGAUGCCGGUGGAUACUGUCGGGCUUGAGUACGGAAGAGGCGAGUGGAAUUCCUGGUGUAGCGGUGAAAUGCGCAGAUAUCAGGAGGAACACCAGUGGCGAAGGCGGCUUCCUGGACCGACACUGACGCUGAGGCGCGAAAGCUAGGGGAGCAAACGGG
rnacentral:rRNA from 1 species